GAUUGGUCCAACCAAUCAAUAAGAGCAGAGAGGACUAGGAUUACGGGAUUGGCUUAAACCAAGGAUGAUUUAUCCCUUGGAUGGAACCCACCUGCUCUGCUUGUGUUGCUGCCUCAUGCCUAAUCUCUCUCUCUCUUUUUUAAUCAAGGCCCUUUUAUCUAGGAAAAUGGAGAGAGUGACUGUGGAGCAGAGAACCAACAAUGUCUGGUCCACACCCAACUCAGAGUUCCUGGUAGCUAAAUCGUCUCGGACUCUUUGUGACCCCAUGGACUGUAGCCUGCCAGGCUCCUCCGUCCAUGAGAUUUCCCAGUCACUUCAGUCGUGUCCGACUCUGUGCAACCCCAUAGACGGCAGCCCACCAGGCUCCCCCAUCCCUGGGAUUCUCCAGGCAAGAACACUGGAGUGGGUUGCCAUUUCCUUCUCCAAUGCAUGAAAGUGAAAAGAGAAAGUGAAGUCGCUCCGUCAUGUCUGACUCUUAGCGACCCCAUGGACUGAAGCCUACCAGCCUCCUCCAUCCAUGGGAUUUUCCAGGCAGGAGUACUGGAGUGGGGUGCCAUUGCCUUCUCCGCUCUCUGUAAAUAGCUAAUAAAAAAAAAAAAAAAAAAAACAA
ensembl:lncRNA